rnacentral:rRNA from 1 species
CAGCAGCCGCGGGAAUACGUAGGUGGCAAGCAUUGUCCGGAAUUAUUGGGCGUAAAGGGCUCGCAGGCGGUUUCUUAAGUCUGAUGUGAAAGCCCCCGGCUCAACCGGGGAGGGUCAUUGGAAACUGGGAAACUUGAGUGCAGAAGAGGAGAGUGGAAUCCCACGUGUAGCGGUGAAAUGCGUAGAGAUGUGGAGGAACACCAGUGGCGAAGGCGACUCUCUGGUCUGUAACUGACGCUGAGGAGCGAAAGCGUGGGGAGCGAACAGGAUUAGAGACCCGUGUAGUCCCUGUCUCUUAUAC